CCUACGGGAGGCAGCAGUGGGGAAUAUUGGGCAAUGGGCGCAAGCCUGACCCAGCAACGCCGCGUGAAGGAAGAAGGCUUUCGGGUUGUAAACUUCUUUUGUCAGGGAAGAGUAGAAGACGGUACCUGACGAAUAAGCCACGGCUAACUACGUGCCAGCAGCCGCGGUAAUACGUAGGUGGCAAGCGUUGUACGGAUUAACUGGGUGUAAAGGGCGUGUAGCCGGGUUGACAAGUCAGAUGUGAAAUCCUGCGGCUUAACCGCAGAACUGCAUUUGAAACUGUUGAUCUUGAGUACUGGAGAGGCAGACGGAAUUCCUAGUUUAGCGGUGAAAUGCGUAGAUAUUAGGAGGAACACCAGUGGCGAAGGCGGUCUGCUGGACAGCAACUGACGGUGAGGCGCGAAAGCGUGGGGAGCAAACAGGAUUAGAUACCCUAGUAGUC
rnacentral:rRNA from 1 species